ACCUCUACGUCUCCUAACCGACCCGUUUCCUACACUCAAUUACAACACACAACAACAACAAUUGCCCAUUUAUUCAGCAGCCCAAUCCCAAUUUCCCAAUUCCCCACAAAUACAACAGUGACCCAGCAGCCCAAAAUAACCUCUCCCUAGUCCUUAUAGAGCAUCCGCGUACACCCAAAGCGUAUGUGCAUACGUGUAUAUCCCUUCGUCGUCUCCUCCAACGACUCCCGACCAACAGUACGCUUAGCCGUUCCCCCCACCCCGCAAUCUCGUCCUUUGGCUCGUGAGAUUGAACCUUCGAGAAGCUUCUAUUCAAUCCUAUCCAUCCACCUCGUCUCUCGUUUCGUCCGAAUCCGUUGAGAGAUGAAUUUUUUUGAGGGGAAUAUGGAAUAAUUCAUAUCUUGUAGAAGAAAUUCGAAUUUCGAACUGUGGUUUCACUGUAUCUAGUUGAAUGUGAUUGAGCUAAUGUAGCCAAAUUUUCAGUGCACUGCUAAGCAGUAUCCUCAGCUUGUUUGUUGUAAAUAUUGGUUGAUAAUUUGGCUAUGUUUUGCUAUCAUCUUACUUGUUUCUAAGGAUCUCUCCAUUGUGCUUUGGUUUAAAUAUUUAUAUCUUAUGAAUAUGUGUUGACAGUGUGCAUUUAAUUUCAUUCCUUCAUAAAUCUAAUACGCCACCCUCAUGCUUUCAAUUUGAUUCUUGCUUGCUUAGAUAUACCCCUGAAUGUAAAUAUUAAUCCUUUUUUUUUUCUUUGCAUGCAUCUGCCCAUCCCGAGUCAACUGGACUCUUUGCCUUUUUUUUGCAUUUCGCUUUGGGCCACGGAGGCCCAAACUCAACCUAAAGGUCCCGAAAGCUGAUGAACAGGUCCUGGAAGCUGAUAUUACAGAUUUAUACACAGGAGAUCGGCUAAAAGCCCAAAAGACAGCAACCAGGGGAAAUGGGCUCAAGUUUCACUCCAGGCCAGCAGAAAUUGAAAUUAGGCCUAAUUUUGAUUUGUUUUUAAUUUUGUUAUUUCUUUUCUAUUUAAUUAUGUAAUUGCUUAGUUGCGAUUAUUUGUUUAAGUUUAAUUUUUAGAUUAGUCUAUUUAAAUCCCGAGGAACUAAUUUCUUUUUAUAAGAUUGCAUUUUUUA